UAGCAUAUCAAUAAGCGGAGGAAAAGAAACCAACAGGGAUUGCCUCAGUAACGGCGAGUGAAGCGGCAACAGCUCAAAUUUGAAAUCUGGCGGCCUCUGGGCCGUCCGAGUUGUAAUUUGAAGAGGAUGCUUUUGGCGAGGCGCCUUCCGAGUGCCCUGGAACGGGACGCCACAGAGGGUGAGAGCCCCGUAUGGUUGGACGCCGAGCCUCUGUAAAGCUCCUUCGACGAGUCGAGUAGUUUGGGAAUGCUGCUCAAAAUGGGAGGUAAACCCCUUCUAAAGCUAAAUACUGGCCAGAGACCGAUAGCGCACAAGUAGAGUGAUCGAAAGAUGAAAAGCACUUUGAAAAGAGAGUUAAAUAGCACGUGAAAUUGUUGAAAGGGAAGCGCUUGCGACCAGACUUGUGCCCGUCGAAUCAGCCGCCGCUCGCCGGCGGCGCACUUCGGCGGGCUCAGGCCAGCAUCAGUUCGCUGCAGGGGGAGAAAGGCGGCGGGAAUGUGGCUCUUCGGAGUGUUAUAGCCCGCCGCGCAAUACCCCUCGGCGGACUGAGGACCGCGCAUCUGCAAGGAUGCUGGCGUAAUGGUCGUCAGCGACCCGUCUUGAAACACGGACCAAGGAGUCGUCCUAAUAUGCGAGUGUUCGGGUGUAAAACCCCUGCGCGUAAUGAAAGUGAACGGAGGUGAGAGCUUCGGCGCAUCAUCGACCGAUCCUGAUGUUCUCGGAUGGAUUUGAGUAAGAGCAUAUUGGGCCGGACCCGAAAGAAGGUGAACUAUGCCUGUAUAGGGUAAAGCCAGAGGAAACUCUGGUGGAGGCUCGCAGCGGUUCUGACGUGCAAAUCGAUCGUCAAAUAUGGGCAUGGGGGCGAAAGACUAAUCGAACCUUCUAGUAGCUGGUUUCCGCCGA
rnacentral:rRNA from 1 species